rnacentral:rRNA from 1 species
AUCGAACGCUGGCGGCAGGCCUAACACAUGCAAGUCGAACGAGUGGCGGACGGGUGAGUAAUGUCUGGGAAACUGCCUGAUGGAGGGGGAUAACUACUGGAAACGGUAGCUAAUACCGCAUACCAUCGGAUGUGCCCAGAUGGGAUUAGCUAGUAGGUGGGGUAAAGGCUCACCAAGGCGACGAUCCCUAGCGGGUCUGAGAGGAUGACCGGCCACGCUGGAACUGAGACACGGUCCAGCCUCCCACGGGAGGCAGCAGUGGGGAAUAUUGGACAAUGGGCGCAAGCCUGAUGCAGCCAUGCCGAGUGUAUGAAGAGGGCCUUCGGGUUGUAAAGUACUUUCGGCGGGGAGGCGUUACCCACAGAGGAAGCACCGGCUAACUCCGUGCCAGCAGCCGCGGUAAUAC